rnacentral:tRNA from 1 species
GACAAGGUGGACAAGUGGUGAAGGCAAUGGACUGCUAAUCCAUUGUGUCCUGCACGCAUAGGAUCAAAUCCCAACCUCGUUG